rnacentral:rRNA from 1 species
UACGUAGGGUGCGAGCGUUGUCCGGAAUUAUUGGGCGUAAAGAGCUCGUAGGCGGCUUGUCGCGUCGGAUGUGAAAGCCCGGGGCUUAACUCCGGGUCUGCAUUCGAUACGGGCAGGCUUGAGUUCGGUAGGGGAGAUCGGAAUUCCUGGUGUAGCGGUGAAAUGCGCAGAUAUCAGGAGGAACACCGGUGGCGAAGGCGGAUCUCUGGGCCGAUACUGACGCUGAGGUGCGAAAGCGUGGGGAGCAAACAGG